CCUUGCUACUCUGUCUUUUGCA
rnacentral:miRNA from 10 species